rnacentral:rRNA from 1 species
UACGUAGGGGGCAAGCGUUGUCCGGAAUCAUUGGGCGUAAAGAGCGUGUAGGCGGCCCGAUAAGUCCGCUGUGAAAGUCCAGGGCUCAACCCUGGAAUGCCGGUGGAUACUGUCGGGCUCGAAUCCGGAAGAGGUGAGUGGAAUUCCUGGUGUAGCGGUGAAAUGCGCAGAUAUCAGGAGGAACACCAAUAGCGAAGGCAGCUCGCUGGGACGUUACUGACACUAAGGCGCGAAAGCGUGGGGAGCGAACAGG